rnacentral:rRNA from 1 species
CCUACGGGUGGCAGCAGUGAGGAAUAUUGGUCAAUGGGCGCGAGCCUGAACCAGCCAAGUAGCGUGAAGGAUGACUGCCCUACGGGUUGUAAGCUUCUUUUAUAGAGGAAUAAAGUGCGGCACGUGUGCCUUUUUCUAUGGACUUUAUGAAUAAGGAUCGGCUAACGCCGUGCCAGCAGCCGCGGUAAUACGGAGGAUCCGAGCGUUAUCCGGAUGUAUUGGGUUUAAAGGGAGCGUAGAUGGGUUGUUAAGUCAGUUGUGAAAGUUUGCGGCUCAACCGUAAAAUUGCAAUUGAUACUGGCAGCCUGGAGUACAGUUGAGGUAGGCGGAAUUCGUGGUGUAGCGGUGAAAUGCUUAGAUAUCACGAAGAACUCCGAUUGCGAAGGCAGCCUACUAAACUGCAACUGACAUUGAUGCUCGAAAGUGUGGGUAUCAAACAGGAUUAGAUACCCCUGUAGUC